GUGAGGAAUAUUGGUCAAUGGACGAGAGUCUGAACCAGCCAAGUCGCGUGAAGGAAGACGGUUCUAUGAAUUGUAAACUUCUUUUGUGCAGGAAUAAAGUGGGUUACGUGUAACCUUUUGUAUGUACUGUACGAAUAAGGAUCGGCUAACUCCGUGCCAGCAGCCGCGGUAAUACGGAGGAUCCGAGCGUUAUCCGGAUUUAUUGGGUUUAAAGGGUGCGUAGGUGGAUUGAUAAGUCAGCGGUGAAAGUUUGCAGCUUAACUGUAAAAUUGCCGUUGAAACUGUCGGUCUUGAGUGCAAAUGAGGUAGGCGGAAUGUGUUGUGUAGCGGUGAAAUGCUUAGAUAUAACACAGAACUCCGAUUGCGAAGGCAGCUUACUGGGAUGCAACUGACACUGAUGCACGAAAGCGUGGGGAUCAAACAGGAUUAGAAACCCGAGUAGUCC
rnacentral:rRNA from 1 species